rnacentral:rRNA from 1 species
GACGAACGCUGGCGGCGUGCUUAACACAUGCAAGUCGAACGGAGAGGCCCCUUUGGGGGUACUCGAGUGGCGAACGGGUGAGUAACACGUGAGUAACCUGCCCUUGACUUCGGGAUAACUUCAGGAAACUGGGGCUAAUACCGGAUAGGAAUCCUUGCUGCCUGGUGGGGGUUGGACAGCUUCGGCGGUUUUGGAUGGACUCGCGGCUUAUCAGCUUGUUGGUGGGGUAGUGGCUUACCAAGGCUUUGACGGGUAGCCGGCCUGAGAGGGCGACCGGCCACAUUGGGACUGAGAUACGGCCCAGACUCCUACGGGAGGCAGCAGUGGGGAAUAUUGCACAAUGGGCGGAAGCCUGAUGCAGCAACGCCGCGUGCGGGAUGACGGCCUUCGGGUUGUAAACCGCUUUCAGCAGGGGCGAAGCUUGUGGUGACGGUACCUGCAGAAGAAGCACCGGCUAACUACGUG